UGAAUACAUAGGGUUUUAAGAGCAAACCCGGAGAACUGAAACAUCUAAGUACCCGGAGGAGAAGAAAACAAAAGUGAUUCCGAUAGUAGCGGCGAGCGAACUUGGAUUAGCCCAAACCAAUAUUGUUACGGCAAUAUUGGGGUUGUAGGACUACGAUAUUCUGUGCUUUAUGAAUUAGAACGCUUUGGAAAGAGCGGCCAUAGACGGUGAUAGCCCGGUAUAGGUAAAGACAGUUACAGAUAGUAGUAUCCUGAGUAGUGCGGGGCACGUGAAACCCUGUAUGAAUUUGGCGGGACCAUCCGUUAAGGCUAAAUACUCCUGAGAGACCGAUAGUGAACCAGUACCGUGAGGGAAAGGUG
rnacentral:rRNA from 1 species